rnacentral:lncRNA from 1 species
UUUAUGAUAAACCAAUUGUUGUGGUGAUAUUGAUUGGGCAAAGAAAAGAAAACAGAGGAGAAGGGGAAGAAAUAGGGAAAAAGAAGGAAGGAACGAAGAGAAGAAGGAAGGAAAAAGGAAAAAGAAGAAAGAAAGAAGGAAAAAGAAAGAAAGAAAGAAGGAAAAAGAAAGGAAGAAAGGAAGGGAAAAAAAUAAAGAAAAAGACCC